AGAGUUUGAUCCUGGCUCAGGAUGAACGCUAGCGGCAGGCUUAACACAUGCAAGUCGAGGGGUAGAGGAAGCUUGCUUCCUUGAGACCGGCGCACGGGUGCGUAACGCGUAUGCAAUCUACCUUGUACAGGGGGAUAGCCCAGAGAAAUUUGGAUUAAUACCCCAUAGUGUAAUGAAUAGGCAUCUAUUUAUUACUAAAGUUCCAACGGUACAAGAUGAGCAUGCGUCCCAUUAGCUAGUUGGUGUGGUAACGGCAUACCAAGGCAACGAUGGGUAGGGGUCCUGAGAGGGAGAUCCCCCACACUGGUACUGAGACACGGACCAGACUCCUACGGGAGGCAGCAGUGAGGAAUAUUGGUCAAUGGGCGCAAGCCUGAACCAGCCAUGCCGCGUGCAGGAUGAAGCAUCUAUGGUGUGUAAACUGCUUUUGUACGGGAAGAAACAACUCUUCGUGAAGAGUCUUGACGGUACCGUAAGAAUAAGGAUCGGCUAACUCCGUGCCAGCAGCCGCGGUAAUACGGAGGAUCCAAGCGUUAUCCGGAAUCAUUGGGUUUAAAGGGUCCGUAGGCGGUUUUAUAAGUCAGUGGUGAAAUCUGGUCGCUCAACGAUCAAACGGCCAUUGAUACUGUAGAACUUGAAUUACUUGGAAGUAACUAGAAUAUGUAGUGUAGCGGUGAAAUGCUUAGAGAUUACAUGGAAUACCAAUUGCGAAGGCAGGUUACUACAAGUGGAUUGACGCUGAUGGACGAAAGCGUGGGGAGCGAACAGGAUUAGAUACCCUGGUAGUCCACGCCGUAAACGAUGGAUACUAGCUGUUCGGAGCAAUCUGAGUGGCUAAGCGAAAGUGAUAAGUAUCCCACCUGGGGAGUACGAACGCAAGUUUGAAACUCAAAGGAAUUGACGGGGGCCCGCACAAGCGGAGGAGCAUGUGGUUUAAUUCGAUGAUACGCGAGGAACCUUACCAAGGCUUAAAUGGGAAACGACAGGUUUGGAAACAGACUUUUCUUCGGACGUUUUUCAAGGUGCUGCAUGGUUGUCGUCAGCUCGUGCCGUGAGGUGUCAGGUUAAGUCCUAUAACGAGCGCAACCCCUGUUGUUAGUUGCCAGCGAGUCAUGUCGGGAACUCUAGCAAGACUGCCAGUGCAAACUGUGAGGAAGGUGGGGGAUGACG
rnacentral:rRNA from 1 species